UACGUAGGGUGCGAGCGUUAAUCGGAAUACUGGGCGUAAAGCGUGCGCAGGCGGUGAUGUAAGACCGAUGUGAAAUCCCCGGGCUUAACCUGGGAACUGCAUUGGUGACUGCAUCGCUCGAGUAUGGCAGAGGGGGGGUAGAAUUCCACGUGUAGCAGUGAAAUGCGUAGAGAUGUGGAGGAAUACCGAUGGCGAAGGCAGCCCCCCUGGGUCAAGAUUGACGCUCAUGCACGAAAGCGUGGGGAGCAAACAGG
rnacentral:rRNA from 1 species